CUACGGGGCGCACCAGUGGGGAAUAUUGCACAAUGGGCGCAAGCCUGAUGCAGCCAUGCCGCGUGUAUGAAGAAGGCCUUCGGGUUGUAAAGUACUUUCAGCGGGGAGGAAGGGAGUAAAGUUAAUACCUUUGCUCAUUGACGUUACCCGCAGAAGAGGCACCGGCUAAUCCGUGCCAGCAGCCGCGGUAAUACGGAGGGUGCAAGCGUUAAUCGGAAUUACUGGGCGUAAAGCGCACGCAGGCGGUUUGUUAAGUCAGAUGUGAAAUCCCCGGGCUCAACCUGGGAACUGCAUCUGAUACUGGCAAGCUUGAGUCUCGUAGAGGGGGGUAGAAUUCCAGGUGUAGCGGUGAAAUGCGUAGAGAUCUGGAGGAAUACCGGUGGCGAAGGCGGCCCCCUGGACGAAGACUGACGCUCAGGUGCGAAAGCGUGGGGAGCAAACAGGAUUAGAUACCCCGGUAGUC
rnacentral:rRNA from 1 species